AGAAGAUGCAGGAGUGCUGUGGGAAGUGUCAUCCCCUGGUACUUGGAGGGAGGUUGCCCCAUAGUGAGCUUGCAUUAUUUAA
ensembl:miRNA Mir453 microRNA 453